CACGUAGGGCGCAAGCGUUGUCCGGAAUUAUUGGGCGUAAAGAGCUCGUAGGCGGUCUGUUGCGUCCGCUGUGAAAACCCGGGGCUUAACCCCUGGCUUGCAGUGGAUACGGACAGACUAGAGGUAGGUAGGGGAGAAUGGAAUUCCCGGUGUAGCGGUGAAAUGCGCAGAUAUCGGGAGGAACACCGGUGGCGAAGGCGGUUCUCUGGGCCUUACCUGACGCUGAGGAGCGAAGCGUGGGAGCGAACAGGA
rnacentral:rRNA from 1 species